rnacentral:rRNA from 1 species
GACGAACGCUGGUGGCGUGCCUAAUACAUGCAAGUCGUACGCGACAAUCACACCGAAAGCUUGCUUUCACCGUGAUUGUUGAGUGGCGAACGGGUGAGUAACACGUGGGUAACCUGCCCACCAGAAGGGGAUAACACUUGGAAACAGGUGCUAAUACCGUAUAAUAGUUUGAUCCGCAUGGAUCGAAUUUGAAAGGCGCUUUUGCGUCACUGAUGGAUGGACCCGCGGCGUAUUAGCUAGUUGGUGAGGUAAUGGCUCACCAAGGCAACGAUACGUAGCCGACCUGAGAGGGUGAUCGGCCACAUUGGGACUGAGACACGGCCCAAACUCCUACGGGAGGCAGCAGCUAAGAAUAUUCCGCAAUGGAGGAAACUCUGACGGAGCGACGCCGCGUGGAUGAUGAAGGCCGGAAGGUUGUAAAAUCCUUUUAAGCAAGAAGAAUAAACUUUACAGGGAAUGGUAGAGUGGUGACGGUAUUGCUUGAAUAAGCAACGGCUAAUUACGUGCCAGCAGCCGCCGUAACAC